GCCCUACCCGUGGGAGUAAUAAAACACAAGGUGGAGCGUGGUGGCCGGGCCCGCCGCCCUGCGUCCUGCUGUCCUCCGCUUUGACUUUUUCCUGCCCUGACAGGACCCUCUCAGGCUCCCGCUGUGGUUGGCCGAGUAAGCUCAGGUCACACCCAGCAAUGCUCAGGGGUUACUCCUGGCUCUGCACUCAGGAAUUACUCCUGGCGGUGCUCAGGGGAACAUAUGGGAUGACGGGGAUCGAACCCAGGUCGGCCGCAUGCAAGGCAAACGCCCUCCCUGCUGUGCUAUCGCUCCAGCCCCACCAGCCACCUUUAGACAUCGGAUCCAGUUGCGUGGAGUGGGGUGGUCCUGGCUGGGGCGGCACAGAGCAUCGCGCGAGAAACCGGGAGAGGCCAG